rnacentral:rRNA from 1 species
UCCUAUGAUUUUAAGAGGAAAAAGAAAAUAACAAUUAUAGACGUACCUGCCAGCUAAACAGCAAACAAGUAAUUCUACACUAUUACUCCCAUAUCAAAAAACAUUAAUAACAAUAAAAUUCUAUAAGAAUACCAACAACACCUAACAUUGUGCAAUAUGCAAACACAUGACACAGCAUCAAUUAUAAAACAAAGACAAGCCAAAAAUGUGCCAGCAGCCGCGGCUAAACAUUUUGUACUAAUUUUCCAAAGAGCCCAUAAUAAAGGAAUUUAUAAAAUAAGAAAACUGAACACACUAACAGUAGUAAAAUACCAAAACUAAAACUCAACCCCUUCUUCAAUUUAACAGUUUUCUAACAUAACAAACCACACACAUAAAAGCACAGAUAACAAAAAGGAUUAGAUACCCUUGUAGCCUAUGCCAUAAAAAAACAGCGAAAAAAGUAUGUUCGCAAGACAGAAACUUAAUAAAUUUGAGAGAGCUAGAAAAUCAGAGAGGCGUAUACUUUAAUUCGAAAAUACACGAAAACCUUACCUACACACACAAGUAAAAUAUCUCCGCAUAUUGCUUUUAUAAUAAAAAAAACAAACUCCCCUACUUUUAAAACAAGGAAAUAUGCCGGUCCACACACUCUUCCAUGUCUAGGGCUAGUAAGCGCCACAAACUACUGAAUUAACCCAAUAGUCCCCUAAAAUGAAAACACAAAGGAGAAUUUGAAAGUAAUUAUUUAUAAGAAAAAAAUAAUGAAAUAUAAAAAUAAGCUGCUACAUACCGCCCGUCAAUUCUUAAGAGAAGAUGGACAACACAAAAUGACAAACUCAUAAUAAAUAACCUAAAAAUAAUUCCCAAUAAUUAAGAAUAAGUCGUAACAAGGUAGCCGUACCCGAAGGUGCGGCUAAACACAA